rnacentral:rRNA from 1 species
AGAGUUUGAUCAUGGCUCAGAACGUACGCUGGCGGCACGCCUAACACAUGCAAGUCGAACGAAGUAGCAAUACUUAGUGGCAGACGGGUGAGUAACAUGUAGGUAUCUGCCCUUUGGCCUGGAAUAACACGAGGAAACUUGUGCUAAUACCGGAUAAGUCUUUACGGAGAAAGCUUUAUGCACCAUUGGAUGAGCCUGCACUUGAUUAGUUUGUUGGUGGGGUAAUGGCCUACCAAGACGAUGAUCAAUAGCUGAUUUGAGAGGAUGAUCAGCCACAUUGGGACUGAGACACGGCCCAAACUCCUACGGGAGGCAGCAGUGGGGAAUCUUGCACAAUGGAGGAAACUCUGAUGCAGCGAUGCCGCGUGAGUGAAGAAGGCCCUUGGGUUGUAAAGCUCUUUCGUCGGGGAAGAAAAUGACUGUACCCGAAUAAGAAGGUCCGGCUAACUUCGUGCCAGCAGCCGCGGUAAUACGAAGGGACCUAGCGUAGUUCGGAAUUACUGGGCUUAAAGAGUUCGUAGGUGGUUGAAAAAGUUGGUGGUGAAAUCCCAGAGCUUAACUCUGGAACUGCCAUCAAAACUUUUCAGCUAGAGUAUGAUAGAGGAAAGCAGAAUUUCUAGUGUAGAGGUGAAAUUCGUAGAUAUUAGAAAGAAUACCGAUUGCGAAGGCAGCUUUCUGGAUCAUUACUGACACUG